rnacentral:rRNA from 1 species
GAUGAACGCUAGCUACAGGCUUAACACAUGCAAGUCGAGGGGCAGCAUGGUCUUAGCUUGCUAAGGCCGAUGGCGACCGGCGCACGGGUGAGUAACACGUAUCCAACCUGCCGUCUACUCUUGGACAGCCUUCUGAAAGGAAGAUUAAUACAAGAUGGCAUCAUGAGUCCGCAUGUUACAAAAGGGAAGGAGCAAUCCGCUGAUAGAUGGGCUUGCGUCUGAUUAGAUAGUUGGUGGGGUAACGGCCUACCAAGUCGACGAUCAGUAGCCGGACUGAGAGGUUGAACGGCCACAUUGGGACUGAGAUACGGCCCAG